UGACAUAAUCAAUGUGAAAGAGCAUGAAUCCUGUAUUCUGGGGGUUUCCCUGCAGAAAAGCCUGUAAUAAUAGCUACAUCUGUCAUUGCUGAAUGACAUUACAGUUUUUCUCUUUUGCUAAGACACACUAAAUGAAACUAGGAUCCACUUCAUCAUCACAUUCAUAGCACAGCAGAAGUCUUCUCUUGCAAAUGCCUUAACACUUUUUCAUUUGUUUCACACAUUUUUCACACCCUUUGUCAAAACAGUUACCACAGAUCUCAUUGAAAGACCCCAAACUCUAUUGGAUUCACUGUGUUGAACAAAAGGAAAGCAUGUAUUCACAGCUGAUAGAAAGUACUUGCAUAAUUAUGAAUAUCUAAUGCACCUGUGUGAAACUCGUUUGCACAACUCUUCAAUCAGCAAUCAGUCCUCAUCCAUCCAUAAAAGAUGCCACCUCUGUGUUGCUACUUGCAAGCAUGGAUCAAAGUAGCCAAAGGCAUGGCAGGAGAGUAAGAGGGCAUGGCAGAGGUGUCCGAGGAAGAGGAGUUUGCAUGCGUGGUGAAGGAGCUGCAGCAGCAAGAGGACAGAAUAGAGCUCAAGUUUCAAAUGAAAUUCGAGCAACAAUUAUUGACCAUGUCAUCAAUCAUGGCUUGUCCUUUAGAGAGGCUGGACAAAGGGUCCAGCCCAUUCUGAGUCAGAGCACUGUGGCAUCUAUUGUCAGGCUUUUUCGGAAUGAGAACAGAAUCCACACACUACCGCACACUGGUGGCAGAGGAAAGAUCUUCAGUGUUGAACAGGAGUCUGCCAUUGUAGAUAUGGUUGUGGCAAACCAUGCAAUCAGACCGCGUGAAAUCCAGGCAGCAGUAAUUGCAGAUCAUGGAGCAUUUAGAAAUAUAAACAGAGUGAGUUUGCCAACUAUUGAUCGAGUCCUUAAACUAAACCAUGUCAGAAUGAAGCAGCUGUACAGAGUUCCAUUCCAAAGAAACUCUAAAAGGAGGCAAGAUUCCAGUAUGUGCAGAGAAUAAUGGAGCUUGAAGCUGAAGGGGCACAUCACAAAUUCAUUUAUGUGGAUGAAGCUGGUUUCAACCUCUGUAAAGUGAGGAGACGCGGGAGGAACAUCACUGGGCCACUGUUACAGUGCCAGGUCAAAGGGGCGCCAAUAUCACCAUGUGUGCUGCCAUCUCCAAGGAUGGUGUCCUUUGCCACAUACCAACUAUCGGCCCAUACAAUACAGAAUACCUCAUCACAUUUCUUGAUGCACUGAAUGAAAGACUGGUUCCACCUGAAGAGAGAGGGCUGUUGAGGCCUGGCAUGACUCUGUAUGUCAUCAUUUGGGACAAUGUUGCCUUCCACCACUCUCGUCUUGUAAAUGAAUGGUUUGCAGCACAGCCUCGUAUGAUGAUGCAAUUCCUCCCUACAUACUCCUUUUCUGAACCCAAUCGAGGAGUUCUUCUCUGCUUGGAGAUGGAAAGUGUAUGAUCACCGGCCAUAUGAGCAGAUGUCCCUCCUGGAGGCAAUGAAUGCAGGUUGCCUGGCAAUAGGUGCAGAGGACUGCCAUGCACGGAGGUAUUUCCCUUGCUGCAUUGCAAGUGAAAACAUUCAAUGCAAUGUUGAUGAGAACUUGUGGCAUCGUCAGGAGUGAAUGGACUAAAUGUGAAGUUCUGAGUAUCUAAACAUUAUAUUUUAUUUAAGAUAUUUCCACCCAUAAGUUUCCUUUUGGUUGCUUUUUUUUUUUUUUUUUUUUUGUCUGUGGCGCAAUUUCUGACAGACUGCCGUCUCUUGUCGGUAGUUGCUGAAAGCAAACCAAAACGUCAGUAACAAACAAGGACCCGCCCAUGUCACAUUCACAAAAAAAUUGGUAACAUCAUCUCAGGUAAGUUAUGAUGACACAUUCACCACUCAAAAAAGUUUUUAUGAAAAUAGUUUUUGGUAAAUCGAUAAAAUGCAAUAAUGGAAUGACAUUAUUGUAAUAGGUUAGCUAGCUAGCAAAGGUCAGCUGCAGUCUGUUAAGCUGUGACAAUAACAACAUUAAUGCUAGUGAUAUAAUGUUGAUUAGUCGUAUGUUAAGGACUGCCAUGGCAUUUGUAUUAUGGAUUAAAUCAACAUCGGAGACCUGCCUGCCCACUGCCACCACAGCAAGUACUACUGGACCAGACCAACCACUGGCCUACCAUGGUGUCUCAAAAAGGCAGGUGCAAGUGGCUGUAAGUGUAUUGUUAGGGUGAAGUGCACCAAAUGUGACGUGUACCUGUGCCUCACCUCUGGAAAAAAAACUGCUUUUUGAAGUUUCGUACAGAAAAAAGGUGAAGAUUCAGGGAUUAUGGGGAUUUCAUGUUCAUAACCUUCCUCUCAUAAGAUUGCAUAAUGUUGAAUUUUCAUGAACUGCAAUGUUUUUUGUUUUAUGUCAAUAUUUUAUGAUACAUGAUGAACAGUAUUAUAUUUGUUUUUAACUGUCUAAAUUUG